rnacentral:tRNA from 1 species
GCCUGGGUGGCUCAGCCAGUUGAGCAUCCUGACUUAAACUCAGGUCACGAUCUCAUGGUUCGUGGGUUCGAGCCCCGUGUCAGGCU